UCUUCUUUUAAAGCUAAACAGUAACUGGCAAAAAUACAGAAACAUCCUGAAGCUGAGAAAUGGAACCCAAGUUCCCCUCUGCCAAGGUGGAAAACCCAUGGGACAGCCUAAAUUUCAUCUAUGCAAUUCAUAAAGAACAAAGCACAAUUUUGCACCUAGGCAAAUCCAAGGGGACUCCUGAGAAGACCUGAGCUGAAAGAAUUGGCCUUUGGAAAGGGUGUUUGUCAGGGAUGCUUUUGGGUGAGAAACUGGCAAAAUGUUGAGCUGCUGAACCCUGGGGAGAAGGAACAUUUCUAUUCUUCUGAAUGGAGAGAGUCCCGGCUAGGGACUGAAGGGAAAAUGGUGCAGCACAGUAAGUCUUUUCCUGCCACCCGAGCUGCUGGCUUUCGAUCAGAAAUCACAUGUGUGUUAGAAAGAAGCGAAUUGCUGUCAGCUGGCUCCCGUCUGUUUUGCCAUGGAGGGAAGGGUGAGGUGCACAACACGGGGCUUCUGCAACUGGGGAGAGAAUAGGUAUAAGAUACAUAAGGUAUAUGAAAGUAAGUGGUAAAUAGGGGCUGCAAACCUCGAUAACCAAACCCAGGGGCCCCUGUUUAUAUAUUAUUGGACUUGAAUGGAGUAGAAAUUGUUUCUAUCCCUGGACUCACUGCUGAGCGGAGACUGACUAUGGACUGCCCACCUUCCUGCGCCUCAGUGUCCCCGUAUGUGAACUGGAGAUAAAGAUACCAGACUCUUUUAUGAAGUGCUUUGGGACCUGCUGAUGGAGAGCAGUAGGCAUUGUGUGAACACAAAACGCCUUAUUUGUCAUGAUGUGGCAUCUUACACAGUCAGCCCUAUGGGCACAGAAAUUAUUUCUGCAGAGCGAAAAGGUGCUAAUAUAUCUGUAACAAAUAGGUGAAGAAGCAGUCAGAGACGAGUAGAUAUCAGCACUAGCUUGGCUGAAAAGAGGCGUCACACACAGCCUGUUGGAGCACAGCCUGUACCUCAGAUAAAUUACAGAUACAGGGACGUGCAGAGGGGCCAUUCAACAGCAACGGCCAAGCCUUUCUGCAGAUGAAGGAAGAUCCGUGCUGAGGGCUGUCAUCUUUCUCCCCUAGGAGGUUUUUGGGUACAAAGAUGCCCACGCGUGUGACAUAAUGCCUCCCCCGGUAACCCCCAGGUUUCUGGAAAGCCGCGAGCAGGUUGUGCCUGUGCCACACAGGUGGGUGUUUGUGUGCUGGGUACAUGCAGUGCCAGCAGCAAGCAUCGGCCCGACGCUGCGGCCGCACAGCGGUGCCGUGCCCAUGCACGGGAAAGGCUGCGCUUGCCGAGCACCCAGUGCGUGCCCAGUCAGCUUCUACUCCCCAGGGAAGCCAAAAAUUUCCAGAUAUAACUCCCACGCAGAAACACCAACUGGUCUGCCAGAUGACCUGGUAAGAUGAUCCUGGAUAAAAGUAUAAACCUCCCUCAAAUGCUGGUUUGGCACCGUGUCCCUGCAAAGGCAACAGAAGACAUCCAGGCAUCUUAUCUGUGUCCUGGCCGUGGCUUCCCU